CAAGCCUCUCUCAAACCCAACAAUUGUUUCGUUCUUUCUUUCGAGUGAAAUGGUGCUGCCGCAGGCCGUUUACUCAGGAAAGAAAAGAAAACUCAAGAAUCAUACAAUUGUGAAUGGCAGCGGCGAAACACAUCUGGAUGGUUCGAGGACAAGGUGUUGACUCUUUGACAAUGGUGACAGGAGCAGGGUUGACAACCUGUGUCGCAUCAGUCUCCGGUAUUGCCCCCCCCCCCCCAAUCCCCUCCCAAACCCAACAAAAUUAUGGAGAUUGAAAUCGGCUUUGAACUUCUUGUCACUGGCUCUUUUGGCUUCAACAAUUUCAGCACAAGGAUCCCCUACCUAUACACAUUCCCUUCUCUUGACGCCUCAACAGCUGUUGAACUCAGAAGACAAUUAAGAAUUUCAAGGGUCUUCUUUCAUGAGGCAGCAGAUGGCAAGCAAGUCUUAAACAACUGCAAGGGUGUGUUGUCCUUUUUGUUGUUCAAGCUGCAAGGGAAUGUUGAAGAUGUGCUUUGAUUUCCUCUUCGAAACAGAGUCCCUUCCAUCUCCAUAUCAUCCGAUUCUGGCAACUGUGAAUGGCAUCUUACGCGGGUCCGAUGAAAAGUUUUGAGCUGAGAAUGGCAGGAGGAGGCCAUGCAAUCUCAGAUAUGGGAACCACGUAGUCGCCAAUAGCAGUUUGGGAACAGAAACAGGAUUAUGUACAUAACAUAGUGAACGAUCAAGGCAGCAUGAGCACCUCAUAUUUUGUUGCAUUCACUGAUGCUAAGAUGGUAAUAGGAGAUGCAGCAUUUAACCAGAUCAUUACACACCCUGCCAACACAAUUUUUGAAGAUCUGAUGCUGAGGGUCUUUCUGAUGGGGCAUCAUUUAUCAUUCCCAGCACCCAUGUCCUUACUGGGUUAUCAGUCCAGCCUUUCGGAAAGAUUUUCGUAUCCCUCAAGGCAGUAAGAACAACACCUCUGUGGCUAUCUGUUGUAAAGGGCUGUAGCAUCUCAAAUAAAAGGAUUCCCAAGCUGUAUAUAUCAGCCUUGACAUCUGCAUCAGCAGUCUUCCUCUCAGGUGCUCUAUAAGCUUGCGUUCCAAGGAACUGCAGAAACACAGAGAACUGUUAGCUCCACAUACAACAUAAAAUCUCACUGAUGUUACUUCUUUUCAUGCAUUCUGAUUUGUAACUCAUUAAUCUUGAGGACUGUGGCUUGGAAGCAAAACGAA